AUGGCUGUCGUCAGCUCGUGUCGUGAGAUGUUGGGUUAAGUCCCGCAACGAGCGCAACCCUCGUCCUAUGUUGCCAGCGGGUUAUGCCGGGGACUCAUAGGAUACUGCCGGGGUCAACUCGGAGGAAGGUGGGGAUGACGUCAAAUCAUCAUGCCCCUUAUGUCCAGGGCUGCACACAUGCUACAAUGGCCGGUACAAAGGGCUGCUAACUCGCGAGAGCCAGCGAAUCCCGUAAAGCCGGUCUCAGUUCGGAUUGGAGGCUGCAACUCGCCUCCAUGAAGCUGGAGUUGCUAGUAAUCCCGGAUCAGCACGCCGGGGUGAAUACGUUCCCGGGCCUUGUACACACCGCCCGUCACACCACGAAAGUCGGCAACACCCGAAGCCGGUGGCCUAACCCGUAAGGGGAGGAGCCGUCGAAGGUGGGGUCGGUGAUUGGGGUGAAGUCGUAACAAGGUAGCCGUACCGGAAGGUGCGGCUGGAUCACCUCCUUUCUAGGGAGAACAGUUCAAUCGUUGGUAGGCAUUCGUCCUACCCGGUUCGAACCACUCCCAGUUGGUGCAUUGGUGGGUGAGUCGAAAUGGCAGGUCAAUCGCAGGAUUCGUCCUCUUGGCAUGCCGGCUCGACGAGCUUUGUCUUCUCUUCCGUUUUGAGGGAGUCGACCCAUUUGGGUUGUCGACCCUCGGCGCACGGCAUGGAGCUCACGCUCCCGCUGCCCACGGAGUGCCCGGUUCGAAAUUUUGAAUCUGAGGCCCCGUUCGCUGCCCUUUGAGAACUGCAGAGCAAGCACGAGCAUCUUUGUUCUUCCAAGCUACAAAGAGCCAACGGUGGAUGCCUUGGCGCCAAGAACCGAUGAAGGACGUGAGUGACUGCGAAAAGCUGCGGGGAACCGUCUACUAGGUAUUGAUCCGCAGAUGUCCGAAUGGGGAAACCCGG
rnacentral:sRNA from 1 species